ACUUGAAACACCAGUUCCCGUACUAUCAUCGAACUUAAGCAACCUCGAGCCUAGUCAGUUCCUGGAUGGGUGACUACUUGGGAAUACCAGGAGCUGCAA